GUGAUACCACGACGUGAUGGCGACGACAAUGGUGGAGGUCCGGUAGUGGUGUUGUAGUAAUAGGUGGUGGUUCAGUUGGCUAAUGGCGGUGGUGAUUUGAAGGAAAAGUGGAAAAAAUGAUGAUUUAGAAGCUAAAAUGUAAGAAAGAAAAUAUUAAAAAAGGAGUAUGGAGGAGGGGUGGCAAAAGAGAGAGGAGGUGAGCAAAAUGAAAAAAAUAAAAUGAACCUUGUGUCUAGGUGCAUUAGACGGCUAAGGUACGAUAAAAGAAGGAAAAUGGAAACAUGAGGGGGC
rnacentral:lncRNA from 1 species